CCUACGGGUGGCAGCAGUGGGGAAUAUUGCGCAAUGGGCGCAACCCUGACCCAGCGACGCCGCGUGAAGGAAGAAGGCCCUCGGUUUGUAAACUUCUUUUAUCAGGGACGAAACAAAUGACGGUACUUGAUGAAUAAGCCACGGCUAACUACGUGCCAGCAGCCGCGGUAAUACGUAGGUGGCAAGCGUUAUCCGGAUUUACUGGGUGUAAAGGGAGUGUAGGCGGGACUGCAAGUCAGAUGUGAAAACCAUGGGCUCAACCCAUGGACUGCAUUGGAAAUUGUAGUUCUGGAGUGUUGGAGAGGCAGGCGGAAUUCCGGGUGUAGCGGUGAAAUGCGUAGAUAUACGGAGGAACACCAGUGGCGAAGGCGGCCUGCUGGACAAUAACUGACGUUGAGGCGCGAAAGCGUGGGGAGCAAACAGGAUUAGAUACCCCUGUAGUC
rnacentral:rRNA from 1 species